rnacentral:rRNA from 1 species
AUUGAACGCUGGCGGCAGGCCUAACACAUGCAAGUCGAGCGGGGUUUUCGGACCUAGCGGCGGACGGGUGAGUAAUGCGUAGGAAGCUACCCGAUAGAGGGGGAUACCAGUUGGAAACGACUGUUAAUACCGCAUAAUGUCUACGGACCAAAGUGUGGGACCUUCGGGCCACAUGCUAUCGGAUGCGCCCACGUGGGGUUAGACAGUUGGUGGGGUAAUGGCUCACCAAGGCGACGAUCCCUAGCUGGUUUGAGAGGAUAUUCAGCCACACUGGAACUGAGACACGGUCCAGACUCCUACGGGAGGCAGCAGUGGGGAAUAUUGGACAAUGGGCGCAAGCCUGAUCCAGCCAUGCCGCGUGUGUGAAGAAGGCCUUCGGGUUGUAAAGCACUUUCAGUAGGGAGGAAGGGUGUUGUGUUAAUAGCACAGCAUUUUGACGUUACCUACAGAAGAAGCACCAGCUAACUCUGUGCCAGCCGCCGCGGUAAUAC